rnacentral:rRNA from 1 species
GACAGAGGGUGCAAACGUUGCUCGGAAUUACUGGGCGUAAAGGGCGUGUAGGCGGGAAGGCAAGUCGGGCGUGAAAGCCCCAGGCUCAACCUGGGAACUGCACUCGAAACUGCCUUUCUUGAGUGCCGGAGAGGAAAGCGGAAUUCCUGGUGUAGAGGUGAAAUUCGUAGAUAUCAGGAGGAACACCAGCGGCGAAGGCGGCUUUCUGGACGGUAACUGACGCUGAGACGCGAAAGCGUGGGGAGCAAACAGG